UUAACGCUAACAGUUAGUUCUUGCUGUGGACAUCACGAAGAAUCUCAUGAAGAAUUAAACGUUGAAUAAUUUGUUUAAUUCUUUAUAAGACAGCUAUAUAUUCAGCAAGGAACGAGAGAAAAAAAGGAACAAUUGAAAUGAUUCAUUCAGAAGUAUAUCUGCUGUAGAUAGUUAGGACAGUAGUAGCGUUACGGACUGUCCUCAGCGCACAAUAUAUUCAUGUGGUGCACCACAGACGCAAAUUACCCCCAUUAUUGAAAACAAGUUGCUAAAAGUAAACACGUCCGGUUAUGUACUCCGAGCCCAAAGGGCAUUGCAUUGAAUUGGGACUAAAGAAGGCUAAAAAACAUGACACCAGUUUUGUUGUAUGCUCCAGUACACCCUUUGACUCUCAGCCCGAAGUUAAUCAGAACUCAAACUCGGCCCUAAACAAUAUCCGCGAGGCCAGCAUAUCAGCUCAGCUUCUGAGCUUCAGCAACUGCUAAGCACAGAAGACAAAGGAGUAGUGAAAGGCUCAGCCAAAUCAAAGUCCAGCAAUGUGAGGGUGACACAGCCUUUCCAUGUCCUGGUAUUGCAACAUGAAGGACAUUUUAGCUGAAACUAACAAGGGAGAGAACUGUAGAUCUGCACCAGCACAGAGCACCAGCAUUGAUAUCGAGUUGGCCCAGCAACCGCACCAGUCCCGCCUGCAGGAGCCCCAGUCCAGAACGACCCUUCCCCUCCCCUGACUUCUAACUCAUCCCCCUUGACCUCCUGACUCAAAAAGUCAGCAUGAUUGAAUAACUCUGUUCUGCAGGAAAUUCUGAGCAUGAUUCUGUUCUGAACAAACGCAAUGCCCAUGCCACGUUUUCCAAACAUAAGCCUGGGUAGUUUUGUUAAGCUAGAGUUCCCUGUGGGCCUGAGAGGGACAAGUGUUACAGACACGAAAAGUAAUAGCAGUAGUUAUGGUAACGCCAACAGUCAGUUGUUGCUGUUGGACAUCACAACAAAUAUCAUGAAAAAUAAAACGUUCAAUAACUUGUUCCAAUCUUUAUGGGACAAACAGAAAUUGAACGGGAGAAAAUCAAGGAACAAUAAAAGCGUAAGCUUUCCUAGUGGGAUACUUCUGCUGUUAAUAGUUUGGACGACUGUAGGGUUACGGACUGCCCCAGAUUGUCCUCUCAGCGGACUAAAUAUCAUAAUAGAACGGACUUUUGGCAAUGUUACUGACAAACAAAGGGAGUAAUGACUUGGUUGUGAAUACCCAGAGCAUUAGACAUCCAUGCUGACAAAGAAAGGCAGUAAUGACUUGGUUGUGAACACCUCGAGCACGAUACAUCCAUGCUGACAAAGAAAGGCAGUAAUGACUUGGUUGUGAACACCCAGAGCACAAUACAUCCAUGCUGACACAGAAAGAAGUAAUGACUUGGUUGUGAACACCCAGAUCACGAUACAUCCGUGCUGAUACAGAAAGGCAGUAAUGACUAAGCUGUGAACACCCAGAGCACGAUACAUCCAUGCUGACACAGACAGGCAGUAAUGACUUGGCUGUGAACACAGAACACGAUACACCCAUGCUGACACAGAAAGGCAGUAAUGACUUUGCUGUGAACUCAGAGCACAAAACAUCCAUGCUUACACAUAAAGGCAGUAAUGACUUGGCUGUGAACACAGAGCUUAAUACAUCCAUGCUGACACAGAAAGGCAGUAAAGACUUGGUUGUAAACACCCAGAGCACAUUACAUCCAUGAUGACACAGAAAGGCAGUAAUGACUUGGCUGUGAACACAGAACAGGAUACACCCAUGCUGACAAAGAAAGGCAGUAAUGACCUUGCUGUGAACACAGAACACGAAACACCCAUGCUGACACAGAAAGGCAGUAAUGACUUGGCUGUAAACACAGAGCACAAUACAUCCAUGCUGACACAGAAAGGCAGUAAUGACUUGACUGUGAACACAGAGCACAAUACAUCCAUGCUGAAACAGAAAGGCAUUUAUGACUUGGUUGUGAACACAGAGCACAAUACAUCCUUGUUGACACAGAAAGGCAGUAAUGACUUUGCUGUUAACUCAGAGCACGAUACAUCCAUGCUGACACAGAAAGGCAGCAAUGACUUGGAUGUAAACACCCAGAGCACAAUACAUCCAUACUGACACAGAAAGGCAGUAAAGACUUGGUUGUAAACACCCAGAGCACAAUACAUCCAUGCUGACACAGAAAGGCAGUAAAGACUUGGUUGUAAACACCCAGAGCACAAUACAUCCAUGCUGACACAGAAAGGCAGUAAAGACUUGGUUGUAAACACACAGAGCACAAUACAUCCAUGCUGACACAGAAAGGCAGUAAAGACUUGGUUGUUAACACCCAGAGCACAAUACAUCCAUGCUGACACAGACAGGCAGUAAAGACUUUGUUGUAUACACUGAGAGAUCCAUACAUCCAUGGGGUGUGCCACAGACUCAAAUUACGCCCACUAUUGUGAACAAGGUGCUUAAAGUGAACAUGUCUGGUUUCUGUUUUCUGUUUUGUUAUGAGCACUUAGCACUCCGAGCCCAAAAGGCCUCACAUUGAAUUGAGAAGGCUUUGAAAAUGACAGCAGUUUUGUUGUGUGGUCCAGUACGCCCUUCGACUCGCAACCUGAAGAAAGCAGAACUCAAACUCGCCUCUUAGCAAUAUCAACAAGGCCAGCAUGUCAUCUCAGCUUCUUGAGCUUCAGUGAACUUUACUAGCAAACAUGACAAACGUCAUUGAAGUGAAAGUCAAUGACAAACCCCUUCUUGCACAAAUACUACAGCUCGCUUAAGAAAUUCAGCAUGAAGACGUCUUGUGUCAGACUACCAAGCCUCCUAUCAAUAUCUCCUCCCAUGUUGGCUACAUCAACACUUCCAACAGCAGAGCCUAGGUGAAUUCGACUUCCGUCUCAGCAUUGAUGUGGCUUAGCAACAAUUGGAUGAUUGCGUCGACAAAUUAGGCCGGACAAGUUGCUCGAACUGAAACGAUCUGAUUCAACAGGUAGAGCAGGCGUUGCCUGACACGUCUGUUAAUGUGACUGACCUCGAUAUGGUGUUCUUGAAAAAUGUGAACCUUAGGCCUGGAGAGCAGUAUGCGAUUGACGCCAUUCAACAACAGUUGUUGUCGGCAAUUCUCGGGUUUGGGGUGGCGACUUCGGCGUUGGGACUCACUCCAUCUCUGUCUAUGGCCCAGUCGCAGCAGCAGCAGCAACAAGAACAAUAAGAAGUAUCUUAGCGGUGUUCUGCAAUAUGGGGCUUAAAUUGUCAUCCCAGAUUAGCCUAUGCAGACUGCACAUAAUUAAGUCCUAUUAAAUUGUCAUUCCAGAUUAGCCUGUGCAGACUGCACAUACAUUAAGCCCUAUUAAAUAGUCAUCCCAGAUUGUGCAGACUGCACAUACAUUAAAUCCUAUUAAAGUGUCAUCCCAGAUAAGCCUGUGCAGACUGCACAUACAUUAAGUCCUAUUUUUUCCCAGAAUGCACUCAUAUAGUUCACUUAACAUCAGUCCGUUGUCUGCCUGAUUGAGGAAAAGUUCAUAGCAUCAAAUAGGAAUUCUGUGUUUUUAUAUUGAUCAAACUUGGUAAAUGAAUGCGAAUAACACUUGAUUUAAUAUAAGUUUUAGAAUGUCAAGCAUAGUUUGUCUAUUUUGCGGCCGAAAUUCAGCUCCUGUACCAAAAGUUUCUCCUUGCAUGAAAACUCCCGCUUUUCUAUUCAAUUUUAGUAAAACAAUUAUUUAAAUGCUUUCAGUACAUUAUAAAAUUAUUGUCUUCAUUAUUUUCCGAUAUUUAUUUAAAUUCUUUGGAAUCUGUUUGGAAGAGCCGGUUCCUACAGGACCAGACGCACUCAUAGAUUGGUACGCAGCUGAACAACAGGCUCUCUGGUCAGCUGGACCCGAACGCCCAGGGAUUUUUUCUGGCCAAGUUUCAUGGGGCAAAUGCCCAAUGAGUUCUACCCGAGGGUGCAGCGUCUCUAGACCUGGGGCUCCAGACUGCCUUACUCAGGGGCCAAGAUUACUUUAUCUGCAAGAGAUCUUAUACUCACAGGUUCCCCAAAUACAACUCAGCCACAACAUCCUAAUCGAGGCCUUAUACUCACAAGUUCAGGCCCAACUACAACACAAUCAGUACGUCUCAAUAGAGGACACCCGUCCUGAAAACCUCGCUGAGUGCGACUGCGCCAUACGUGACCCUUAAGUGAAAUGAGAUUCCAGACGGAAUGUCAAACCUGUACUACUCAGGUCUCCAGCAAUAGCCUCAGCCUUGACCGCAGGUUCAUGAUGCAUCCAUGGCCUUACUUAUUUCUGAACAUCUCAAUAUCACAGCAAUUGAUGUGAAUUAAUGAUAAUAAGACUCCACAAACCAAGUUUUGGAGAGGGUAUAUUGGAGUCAAUUUUCUGUUAGUUAUUUUAUAGUCAAAGCGGCAUUUUUUGCAUAUAUUAUAUAAAGGUUUGUAUCAAAUCUAAAUUUCUCAAAGGAUUAAAUUUGAACUUAAAUUGUGUGAAACCGUUUAACAGUAAGUUAUAAGUGGUGAUUUUGUUGCAUGCAAAGCCCCAUCGUUUCAUUGGCCAAGUCACUCUUUUACCCCGUAUUAUUUUACUUUCAGUAUCUCACCAUACAUGGGAAAUCAGAAGUUAUGAAACAAUACAUGAACAACACUGACGCAUAUGAAAGGUUCAGGGUCUCCCAAAACCACCCAGUGCCUUGCAAUGAAAACCUCCAACGGGACUGUGACCUUGCCCUUGUACAUACCUAAUGGUCAGGUUGAUGAUCACUUGGGCUUAGAUAGUCACUGCAGUAAGAACGUAAGAUGACUUCACAAUAGGACAUCCGAGACUGCAAUGACGAAAUGAGUGUCCUCACUUCAGCAGUGGAAGCCAAUACACAAUACGAGAGUUUCCAGCGGCUUACCUUAUCUGAAAACCUGGGUAGCAGAGCAAUGAGUAUAUCUCAGGAGCAUUUGCAGUCACAGCAAGUGAACCAGCGGCAGUCAUCGUCUCUAGAUUCCGAGAUCCCCAUGCUUCACAACCCUCAGUCUAUGAACAUCAUGCAGAGCAAACCUUGGACGACCAUUGACGAAAUCAAACCGGCAAAUCAGAAGGACUGCCUGUUGCUACAGCUGUUAUCAUAUUAACCCCAGUCAUACCGAAGAAGCUCAGAGAUAUAAAUGGUGUUUAAGAUGUGCUUGUCUCUGCAUACUCCAUGUCUGGUGUGAACAUGUACAAUUGAAGGUCUCUACAUACUCCAUGUCUGGUGUGAACAUGUACAAUUGAAGGUCUCUUCAUACCCCAUGUCUGAUGUGAACAUGUACAAUUGAAGGUCUCUACAUACCCUAUGUCUGGUGUGAACAUGUACAAUUGAAUGUCUCUACAUACCCCAUGUCUGGUGUGAACAUGUACAAUUGAAGGUCUCUACAUACCCUAUGUCUGGUGUGAACAUGUACAAUUGAAGGUCUCUACAUACUCCAUGUCUGGUGUGAACAUGUACAAUUGAAGGUCUCUGCAUACCCCAUGUCUGGUGAGAACAUGUACAACUGAAGAUCUCUACAUACCCCAUGUCUGGUGUGAACAUGUACAAUUGAAUGUCUCUAUAUACCCCAUGUCAGGUGUGAACAUGUACAAUUGAAGGUCUCUACAUACCCCAUGUCAGGUGUGAACAUAUACAAUUACAGGUCUCUACAUACACCAUGUCUGGUGUGAACAUGUACAAUUAAAUGUCUCUACAUACCCCAUGUCUGGUGUGAACAUGUACAAUUGAAGGUCUCUACAUACCCCAUGUCUGGUGUGAACAUGUACAAUUGAAUGUCUCUAUAUACCCCAUGUCUGGUGUGAACAUGUACAAUUUGAGGUCUCUACAUACCACAUGUCUGGUGUGAACAUACACAAUUGAAGGUCUGUACAUAUGCCACGUCUGGUGUGAACAUGUACAAUUGAAGGUCUCUACGUACCCCAUGUCCGGUGUGAACAUGUACAAUUGAAGGUCUCUACAUACCCCAUGUCUGGUGUGAACAUGUACAAUUGAAGGUAUCUUCAUACCCCGUGUCCGGUGUGAACAUGUACAAUUGAAGGUCUCAUCUUUGAAAUUGGGACAGGUGGAAAAUUAAUGAAUUGAUGCAGACAGAAGUCGCAUAAUGACAAAUCAAACAAAACGUGUAAAUCAAGACAGUCUUGUGGCCAGCCAUGUUUUUAUGUGACCAUCCAAGUUGUGUUCAAAGAAAACAAUAGUUCAUGUUUUAUUGGAACUAUGAUGCUGAUAGUCAUUUUAUGUAAAAGGCUUUUAUUAACUAUAUUUAAAUACUCAGUAUAAUAAGAUUAAGAUUACUUGAUAAAAGCAAUAAUGAACAAUAUUAUUUUAAGAGCAAAAUUAGCAAGUCUAUCCAAUUACUGUGUCUGUAUUAUGAAAUUUUAUUUUGGAAAUGUUAAGGAAAAUAUAAUGUUACUAAAUAUAUGUCUAUGAAUGUUGAUUUUAACAUUUGUCAAAGCUGUUUAAAUGAUGCUGGUAACUUUGACAAAAUUGAAAGAAAAUGUAUUAUUUUCAUGUAAAGAGACAUGCUUCAGUUUGUUUUGCUUAACAUGUAAUAUAGAGGUGGUAGUUACACACAUUGUUUAGACAGGUGGAUAAUUAUAAUGCUAAGGCUUUGAUACUCUAAAGUGUGCCCAUUGGUGUCGGGUGUUUUUGUCAAGCAUCUUGUUUAUUAUCAUAGUAUUUCAAGACAAUAUUGAUUAAUUUUAGACAAAAUCAUUUAAUCUUCCUUAAAUUGUCUAUUCGGUAUUUACUACCAGUUAUUUAUUAAUUUACUUGAACAUGAUUUAAUAAUGACUUUUUUGUUGCUUAAAAUGCUUUAUACGUUUUAAAACUAAGCAUUUAAAAACGAAAAUAUAAGAUGUGGGAAUAAUGUCUAAAGUUAUGAUAGUUAUUUUUUGUUUUUGUAAAGUUAAUUAUGCCUUAUAUGUUUGUGUAUAGACAUUUAGACGACCAGAUUAACCUGACAAAGAAUUCUUGAUCAAUGUGUAUAUCGGUCAGUCCAUUUGUCAUUUGUAUAUAGAGCUAUUGCGAAAUGAUUGUAUUGUUAAUGAAAAUCAUGCGUUUAUUGUUGCCAUUUUGAUUUUCGCUGUUAACAUGUAUUUGUACAAACAAUUUUCAUCAUGUACAUCUUUUAUAUGCCAGAUAAUAAAAACAAACAUUGCUUGUGGAGAUGCUCAUUUAAAACUUUCUAAAUGAUACAGAACAACACAUUCCGAAGAGGCAAAUAUCCUUUAGGCAAUAGGAACAUCUUGUUACUAGUAUAUGUAAUGCCUUUCACUAAAUAAAGUCAAGCAACUAUUGAAAGAUUGGUUUAACUUUGUUUUGCAUUAUCUUAAGAAAAAUUAAUAUAUUCAACUUGGAAAUCAGUCAUUUGCAAAUCAAGCGAGAGUGAUUUAACAUGCUAACACUUGUCAAUAAUUGAAUUGUCUCUCUUUGUACGGAAGAUAUAGGGAUGUUGUUGCUUGAAAAACAAAGUUGUAUCCGUUGUUAGAUAAUGCUUUUGUUCAUCUCUCAACAUAACAAGUACAUUCAUACAGUUAUUAAAAAUAUGACACUCUUUAUUCUCAGCCAUCAGUUUGUAUUGGGAUUUUGUGGAAUACUUACUAAACUAAUAUACGUCUGUUUAAUGAAUUAAUAGCUAUGGUACAAUAUGAUACUCAGUGUUACAAAACAUGUGUAAUAAAAAUAUAAUGUCAUUUAUUUGAAAUCAUAAAAUUUAGUUGUCCAUACAAUGCUUACAGUUUGCAAUUGCGAUGAUAAAGGAAAUGUUCUGCUCAAAAUGUCUUUUUAAGACAUGUGAAAAUUGUAGCAAUCAUAUUGUACUUGUAUUUAUAUUAUACAUGACAAGAAUUUACUUACGGUUGAUGAUAGCGGCUGUUACUAAUUGUGUUACAGUUAGUUUCACUCGACCAUUAGACCAUAUUUCCUUAAAAAUGUGAUUGUUUAUAUUUAACUUUAAUUAAAUGCAUGAAACAUUGUUGUUCUGUUGCUUAACAGCUGAAAAUAGCUUGAUUUUUGUUAAUUGUGUAAAAUGUUUCAAAUUAAUCAUAUUGAUUACAUAAAAAAAAAUAUUACAUUUUGCGUUAUUUUGAAUGCAUUACAAACAAUUGUUACCAUACAAUCAUAUUAGUAUUGAACUUAAUUAAUACUCUUGGAUGCAAUUUUUACAAUAAUGUGUUAAUAUUGUCAUCCAUUCCAAAUAAGCAUUGUGCAUUCGUAAAUAUAGUGUGUUUAUAAACUUCUUAGAUGCCUUUUUUAAAUUGCUUGUGUAGGUCAUAUUGAUUAAAGACUCUUAUUUAUGUAUUGCAUAUUUGUGUGUGCCUAUGUCUUACUUAUCUCUUCAUAGUCCUUAAAUUAUUGCAAAUAGUAUUUUAAUAAUGUUAAAAUAUUUAUCUAAACUAUAACCAGGUUAUCUGUUAAUUUAGGUUUCAUACAUUGUAUUGUCUAGCUAAUUAAAUUGAAGUGUCUAUAUUCUCGCCAACAUGCAUUGUUGGUGUCUGGUUUAGACAAAGCACAUUACACAACUCCUGUUGUUUUUCUCCAUCAUUAAUAACCAAUGUUUAUUCUGUAGAUGUUGCAUUAUACUAAAUAUUUCAGUUGUGCAAUGCUUUGCUCUCUUAAUAAAUCAGCACUAUUUAUUGAUUUUUUAUAUGGGCACUUCCCAUGACUUUAUUCGUGAAUAUUUCUUUGAAUGUGCGGUAGGGAAAACAUUGUUUGCUUGAAGGUUUAGAAACUUAAUGUUGACAUCUUGAAAGAUGGCAGAAAACAUUUAACUGCAAAGUAGCUGUGAAAAGAUGUAUGUUAAACAUAUAAUAAACAAUGUAAGACAGAACUCCACGCAAGAUAUGUCAUGCAUUCGAUAUGCAUGAACUAUCUUUUUUAAUUAAUUUGGAUCGGAAUUAUCUUUUAGAAAUGGUAUGGUUAUGAGGGUCUCUAUGUGCAAAAUGUUGCAUUUAUUUUGUGUACAAGUUAUUGCUUAAACAUUGAUUUUGUUAUGGAAAUAAUAUAGUUUAUGUGCCUUUAAGAGAUAUACAUGUUUAUGUUAGUGAUGUGUUUUUGCUGAUCCAAGUCUGUUCCUGCACACUAUUUAAAGUAGAUAACUACAAGUUUUCUCAUUUAAAUGGGAAUAGUAUUGUACUGUGGAAAAGUGUUGCGAGUUCAAAUAAAAAUACUAUGAAC